CUACAAAGGGCCCCGAAAUGACAAAUACAAAACAAUGAGAAAACUUUACGAUUUAAUUUAAGGAAGGAUUUUUAUACGGUUUAUUACAAAUCCUUGAUUUAAGUAAAUAAUAAUGAACGAAAAAAAUAUAAUAUACAAAAGAAGAUGUGGUAUGAAUGCCAAUGAGACAACUAUCCACAAAAGACCAAAAUGACACAGACAUUAUCAACUAUAGGUCACCGUACGGCCUUCAACAAUGAUCAAAGCCCAUACCGCAUAGUGAGCUAUAAAAGGCCCCGAUAAGACAAUGUAAAACAAUUCAAACGAGAAAACUAACGGCCUUAUUUAGGUAAAAAAAAUGAACGAAAAACAAAUAUGUAACACAUAAACAAACGACAACCACUGAAUUACAGGCUCCUGACUUGGGACAGGCACAUACAUAAAUUUUUUGGCGGGGUUAAACAUGUUAGCGGG
rnacentral:lncRNA from 1 species